UUUAUUGAGAGUUUGAUCCUGGCUCAGGAUGAACGCUGGCGGCGUGCUUAACACAUGCAAGUCGAACGGGGGUGCUAUGUGAGAGGAGUCAGCUUGCUGGAUCUGAUCUUUUAGCACUCUAGUGGCGGACGGGUGAGUAACGCGUGGGCAACCUGCCUUAUACCGGGGGAUAACACUUAGAAAUAGGUGCUAAUACCGCAUAACAACAGAAAGCGCAUGCUUUGUGUUUGAAAACUCCGGUGGUAUAAGAUGGACCCGCGUCUGAUUAGCUGGUUGGCGGGGUAACGGCCCACCAAGGCGACGAUCAGUAGCCGGCCUGAGAGGGUG
rnacentral:rRNA from 1 species